CAAUAGCGUAUAUUAAAGUUGUUGCAGUUAAAAAGCUCGUAGUUGAAUUUCUGUCAGGAGUGACCGGGCCUUUGGAUGAACUUCCAUUGUUUUUUGCUCUGUUUGUCGUCUCUAGACAUCCUGAAAUGUUUUUUUUACGAAAUAUUUCUCUUUUACUGUUAGCAAAAUAGAGUGUUCCAAGCAAAGCGUAGUUUUGAAUACAUUAGAAUGGAAUAAGAAGAUAGGACUUUGGUGCUAUUUUGUUGGUUUGCACACCAAGGUAAUGAUUAAUAGGGACAGUUGGGGGUAUUCGUAUUUAAUUGUCAGAGGUGAAAUUCUUGGAUUUAUGAAAGACGAACUACUGCGAAAGCAUUUACCAAGGAUGUUUUCAUUAA
rnacentral:rRNA from 1 species